rnacentral:tRNA from 1 species
GCCUGGGUGGCUCAGUCGGUUGAGCGUCCGACUUCGGCUCAGGUCACGAUCUCGCAGUCUGUGAGUUCGAGCCCCGCGUCAGGCU